GACGAACGCUGGCGGCGUGCUUAACACAUGCAAGUCGAACGGAAAGGCCCUGCUUGCAGGGUGCUCGAGUGGCGAACGGGUGAGUAACACGUGGGUGAUCUGCCCCUUACUUCGGGAUAAGCCUGGGAAACUGGGUCUAAUACUGGAUAGGACCAUGCUGUAGGGGGUGUGGUGGAAAGAUUAGUUUCGGUAGGGUGUGUGCUCGCGGUGUCUCCGCGUGUUGGUGGGGUGGGGGUCUACCAACGCGUCGACGGGUCGCCGGUCUGAGAGGGGGUGCGGCGACAUAGGGACUGUGAGACGGCGCAGAGUCCUACGGGAGGCAGCAGAGGGGAAUAUAGCGCAAUGUGCGCAAGACUGAGGCGGCGACGCCGCGUGUGGGAUAACAGCCUUCGGGUUUUGAACUCCUUUCAGCCAAGACGAAACCCUUGUUGUGACGGUAGUGGGAGAAGAAGCACCGGCUAACUACGUG
rnacentral:rRNA from 1 species